GGAUUGUGGCUCAGUGGUAGAGCGCUCGCCUAGCACAUGUGAGGCCCUGGGAUAGAUCUUCAGCACCA
rnacentral:tRNA from 1 species